rnacentral:rRNA from 1 species
GAGUUUGAUCAUGGCUCAGGAUGAACGCUAGCGGCAGGCUUAACACAUGCAAGUCGAGGGGUAACAGGGAUUGCUUGCAAUCCGCUGACGACCGGCGCACGGGUGCGUAACGCGUAUGCAACCUACCUUUUACAAGGGGAUAGCCCAGAGAAAUUUGGAAUAAUACCCUAUACGAUCAUUAAUUGGCAUCAAUUAAUGAAGAAAACUCCGGUGGUAAAAGAUGGGCAUGCGUCCUAUUAGUUAGUUGGUAAGGUAACGGCUUACCAAGACUCCGAUAGGUAGGGGUCCUGAGAGGGAGAUCCCCCACACUGGUACUGAGACACGGACCAGACUCCUACGGGAGGCAGCAGUGAGGAAUAUUGGACAAUGGAGGCAACUCUGAUCCAGCCAUGCCGCGUGCAGGAAGACGGCCCUACGGGUUGUAAACUGCUUUUAUACAGGAAGAACUAUAUCUACGUGUAGAUAUUUGACGGUACUGUACGAAUAAGGAUCGGCUAACUCCGUGCCAGCAGCCGCGGUAAUACGGAGGAUCCAAGCGUUAUCCGGAAUCAUUGGGUUUAAAGGGUCCGUAGGCGGUCUAAUAAGUCAGAGGUGAAAUCCUACAGCUCAACUGUAGCAUUGCCUUUGAUACUGUUAGACUUGAGUUAUUGUGAAGUAGUUAGAAUGUGUAGUGUAGCGGUGAAAUGCAUAGAUAUUACACAGAAUACCGAUUGCGAAGGCAGAUUACUAACAAUAUACUGACGCUGAGGGACGAAAGCGUGGGUAGCGAACAGGAUUAGAUACCCUGGUAGUCCACGCCGUAAACGAUGGAUACUAGCUGUUCGAUCAACAUUGGUUGGUUGAGUGGCUAAGCGAAAGUGAUAA